rnacentral:rRNA from 1 species
UACGUAGGGGGCUAGCGUUGUCCGGAAUCAUUGGGCGUAAAGCGCGUGUAGGCGGCCCGAUAAGUCCGCUGUGAAAGUCCAGGGCUCAACCCUGGGAUGCCGGUGGAUACUGUCGGGCUCGAGUCCGGAAGAGGCGAGUGGAAUUCCUGGUGUAGCGGUGAAAUGCGCAGAUAUCAGGAGGAACACCAAUGGCGAAGGCAGCUCGCUGGGACGUGACUGACGCUGAGGCGCGAAGGCUAGGGGAGCAAACAGG